rnacentral:rRNA from 1 species
CCUACGGGAGGCAGCAGUGAGGAAUAUUGGUCAAUGGUCGGGAGACUGAACCAGCCAAGCCGCGUGAGGGAUGAAGGUACAGAGUAUCGUAAACCUCUUUUGUCAGGGAACAAAGGCGGGGACGUGUCCCCGGAUGAGUGUACCUGAAGAAAAAGCAUCGGCUUUCUCCGUGCCAGCAGCCGCGGUAAUACGGAGGAUGCGAGCGUUAUCCGGAUUUAUUGGGUUUAAAGGGUGCGCAGGCGGGCUGGUAAGUCAGCGGUAAAAGCCCGGGGCUCAACCCCGGACCGCCGUUGAAACUGGCAGUCGCGAGUUGGAGAGAAGUAUGCUGAAUGCGCGGUGUAGCGGUGAAAGGCAUAGAUAUCGCGCAGAACUCCGAGUGCGAAGGCAGCAUGCCGGCUCCACACUGACGCUGAGGCACGAAAGCGUGGGUAUCGAACAGGAUUAGAUACCCUAGUAGUC